rnacentral:lncRNA from 1 species
AAUUGUUUUAUUUUAGAAUUUUUUUUUGUUCUCCACACUUUCUAUUUCAAGCACGCAUUUCCAUGAGUAGGAAUGAUAUAGUUAUUAUCUGGGAGAUGUGUAGCUAACCAAUACCCGACUUGACUGAGUAUAUACCACUAUCAUUACAAUGCCAUCACAUUAAGUCUUGUUGAGCUUUUGAACUAACUUUUAGUUCCAAAAUCAACUUCAAAUCGUCUUUAACCACCGCUUCACAUAACUUAUCAACAUCCCAACCACUCUUGGUAUCAUUUAGGAAUGUGGGGACUUUUGUAUCAAGGUUUAUCUCUCCCAAAGCACACGAAUGCCUUGGAGGAUGCAACGGUAACCAUUGAUCUGUCCACAUAUUAGUCAUCCGUCCAUCACCAAUGAUGUAUCUUAUUCCCUUAACUAUUAGAUCCUUUCCAUAAAGGAUUGAUUUCAAUGCAUAAGAAAACUUUUUUUUCCAGAAUAGCCUUUAGUAUAUCACCAUCAGAAAAUUACCU